UACGUAGGGACCGAGCGUUGUCCGGAAUCAUUGGGCGUAAAGAGCGUGUAGGCGGCCUUUUAAGUCCUGCGUGAAAUCCUGCGGCUCAACCGCAGACGGUCGUGGGAAACUGGAAGGCUAGAGUGCGGGAGAGGAGAGUGGAAUUCCCGGUGUAGCGGUGAAAUGCGCAGAUAUCGGGAAGAACACCCGUGGCGAAGGCGGCUCUCUGGAACGCAACUGACGCUGAGGAGCGAAAGCGUGGGGAGCGAACAGG
rnacentral:rRNA from 1 species